CUGCGACUGCGCGACUGGCGAGGGUGGGUAACCACCGGGGAGCGCUGUCAGCGGGAGCAUCGUCCGCCUGGGUGCUCCUC
rfam:Micromonospora krabiensis strain DSM 45344 genome assembly, chromosome: I